rnacentral:misc_RNA from 1 species
GAUGAAGAACGUAGCGAAAUGCGAUAAGUAGUGUGAAUUGCAGAAUUCAGUGAAUCAUCGAAUCUUUGAACGCACAUUGCGCCCCUUGGUAUUCCAUGGGGCAUGCCUGUUCGAGCGUCAUUUGUACCUUCAAGCUCUGCUUGGUGUUGGGUGUUUGUCUCGCCUUGCGCGUAGACUCGCCUUAAAACAAUUGGCAGCCGGCGUAUUGAUUUUGGAGCGCAGUACAUCUCGCGCUUUGCACUCAUAACGACGACGUCCAAAAGUACUUUUUACACUCUUGACCUCGGAUCAGGUAGGGAUACCCGCUGAACUUAAGCAUAUCAAUAAGCGGAGGA